rnacentral:rRNA from 1 species
GAUGAACGCUGGCGGCGUGCCUAAUACAUGCAAGUCGAGCGAACAGACGAGGAGCUUGCUCCUUUGACGUUAGCGGCGGACGGGUGAGUAACACGUAGGUAACCUACCUAUAAGACUGGGAUAACUUCGGGAAACCGGAGCUAAUACCGGAUAAUAUUUCGAACCGCAUGGUUCGAUAGUGAAAGAUGGCUUUGCUAUCACUUAUAGAUGGACCUGCGCCGUAUUAGCUAGUUGGUAAGGUAACGGCUUACCAAGGCAACGAUACGUAGCCGACCUGAGAGGGUGAUCGGCCACACUGGAACUGAGACACGGUCCAGACUCCUACGGGAGGCAGCAGUAGGGAAUCUUCCGCAAUGGGCGAAAGCCUGACGGAGCAACGCCGCGUGAGUGAUGAAGGUCUUCGGAUCGUAAAACUCUGUUAUUAGGGAAGAACAAACGUGUAAGUAACUGUGCACGUCUUGACGGUACCUAAUCAGAAAGCCACGGCUUACUACGUG